AUGAACGCUAGCUACAGGCUUAACACAUGCAAGUCGAGGGGCAGCAUGGUCUUAGCUUGCUAAGACUGAUGGCGACCGGCGCACGGGUGAGUAACACGUAUCCAACCUGCCGUCUACUCUUGGACAGCCUUCUGAAAGGAAGAUUAAUACAAGAUGGCAUCAUGAGUCCGCAUGUUCACAUGAUUAAAGGUAUUCCGGUAGACGAUGGGGAUGCGUUCCAUUAGAUAGUAGGCGGGGUAACGGCCCACCUAGUCUUCGAUGGAUAGGGGUUCUGAGAGGAAGGUCCCCCACAUUGGAACUGAGACACGGUCCAAACUCCUACGGGAGGCAGCAGUGAGGAAUAUUGGUCAAUGGGCGAGAGCCUGAACCAGCCAAGUAGCGUGAAGGAUGACUGCCCUAUGGGUUGUAAACUUCUUUUAUAAAGGAAUAAAGUCGGGUAUGCAUACCCGUUUGCAUGUACUUUAUGAAUAAGGAUCGGCUAACUCCGUGCCAGCAGCCGCGGUAAUACGGAGGAUCCGAGCGUUAUCCGGAUUUAUUGGGUUUAAAGGGAGCGUAGAUGGAUGUUUAAGUCAGUUGUGAAAGUUUGCGGCUCAACCGUAAAAUUGCAGUUGAUACUGGAUAUCUUGAGUGCAGUUGAGGCAGGCGGAAUUCGUGGUGUAGCGGUGAAAUGCUUAGAUAUCACGAAGAACUCCGAUUGCGAAGGCAGCCUGCUAAGCUGCAACUGACAUUGAGGCUCGAAAGUGUGGGUAUCAAACAGGAUUAGAUACCCUGGUAGUCCACACGGUAAACGAUGAAUACUCGCUGUUUGCGAUAUACGGCAAGCGGCCAAGCGAAAGCGUUAAGUAUUCCACCUGGGGAGUACGCCGGCAACGGUGAAACUCAAAGGAAUUGACGGGGGCCCGCACAAGCGGUGGAGCAUGUGGUUUAAUUCGAUGCAACGCGAAGAACCUUACCUACUCUUGACAUCCAGCGAAUCCUUUAGAGAUAGAGGAGUGCCUUCGGGAACGCUGAGACAGGUGCUGCAUGGCUGUCGUCAGCUCGUGUUGUGAAAUGUUGGGUUAAGUCCCGCAACGAGCGCAACCCUUAUCCUUUGUUGCCAGCGGUCCGGCCGGGAACUCAAAGGAGACUGCCAGUGAUAAACUGGAGGAAGGUGGGGAUGACGUCAAAUCAGCACGGCCCUUACGUCCGGGGCUACACACGUGUUACAAUGGGGGGUACAGAGGGCCGCUACCACGCGAGUGGAUGCCAAUCCCAAAAACCUCUCUCAGUUCGGACUGGAGUCUGCAACCCGACUCCACGAAGCUGGAUUCGCUAGUAAUCGCGCAUCAGCCACGGCGCGGUGAAUACGUUCCCGGGCCUUGUACACACCGCCCGUCAAGCCAUGGGAGCCGGGGGUACCUGAAGUGCGUAACCGCGAGGAGCGCCCUAGGGUAAAACUGGUGACUGGGGCU
rnacentral:rRNA from 1 species